GUCCCGUUGGCGCAAUGGCAGCGCGUUAGACUUCUAUGCAACAAAUGCUGGACAUCUAAAGGUUGCCGGUUCGAGCCCGGCACGGGAUG